rnacentral:rRNA from 1 species
GCAUGGUUCAAAAGUGAAAGACGGUCUUGCUGUCACUUAUAGAUGGAUCCGCGCUGCAUUAGCUAGUUGGUAAGGUAACGGCUUACCAAGGCAACGAUGCAUAGCCGACCUGAGAGGGUGAUCGGCCACACUGGAACUGAGACACGGUCCAGACUCCUACGGGAGGCAGCAGUAGGGAAUCUUCCGCAAUGGGCGAAAGCCUGACGGAGCAACGCCGCGUGAGUGAUGAAGGUCUUCGGAUCGUAAAACUCUGUUAUUAGGGAAGAACAUAUGUGUAAGUAACUGUGCACAUCUUGACGGUACCUAAUCAGAAAGCCACGGCUAACUACGUGCCAGCAGCCGCGGUAAUACGUAGGUGGCAAGCGUUAUCCGGAAUUAUUGGGCGUAAAGCGCGCGUAGGCGGUUUUUUAAGUCUGAUGUGAAAGCCCACGGCUCAACCGUGGAGGGUCAUUGGAAACUGGAAAACUUGAGUGCAGAAGAGGAAAGUGGAAUUCCAUGUGUAGCGGUGAAAUGCGCAGAGAUAUGGAGGAACACCAGUGGCGAAGGCGACUUUCUGG